rnacentral:rRNA from 1 species
GACGAACGCUGGCGGCGUGCUUAACACAUGCAAGUCGAACGAAAAUACCAAGCUUGCUUGGUUGAUUAGUGGCGAACGGGUGAGUAACACGUGAGUAACCUGCCCCUUACUUUCUGGAUAACUGCUCGAAAGGGUAGCUAAUACGGGAUAUUCUGACCGGCCUGCAUGGGUUGGUUUGGAAAGGUUUUUUCUGGUGAGGGAUGGGCUCGCGGCCUAUCAGCUUGUUGGUGGGGUGAUGGCCUACCAAGGCUUUGACGGGUAGCCGGCCUGAGAGGGUGGACGGUCACACUGGGACUGAGAUACGGCCCAGACUCCUACGGGAGGCAGCAGUGGGGAAUCUUCGGCAAUGGGGGCAACCCUGACCGAGCAACGCCGCGUGAGUGAAGAAGGUUUUCGGAUCGUAAAGCUCUGUUGUAAGUCAAGAACGAGUGUGAGAGUGGAAAGUUCACACUGUGACGGUAGCUUACCAGAAAGGGACGGCUAACUACGUGCCAGCAGCCGCGGUAAUACGUAGGUCCCGAGCGUUGUCCGGAUUUAUUGGGCGUAAAGCGAGCGCAGGCGGUUUGAUAAGUCUGAAGUUAAAGGCUGUGGCUCAACCAUAGUUCGCUUUGGAAACUGUCAAACUUGAGUGCAGAAGGGGAGAGUGGAAUUCCAUGUGUAGCGGUGAAAUGCGUAGAUAUAUGGAGGAACACCGGUGGCGAAAGCGGCUCUCUGGUCUGUAACUGACGCUGAGGCUCGAAAGCGUGGGGAGCGAACAGG